CAAAUUGCUUCAUAUUGACAAUCCUAUGUUUGCAGUUUGAGGUUGUUCGUAAAGUUAUGCAGAAGCAACCAUGACAGCCCAUAGCAGUCCCCACAUCUUGAAGGUCACCGGCAUAAUGCCUUUGCAUCCACAAAUGCGGUGUGUUUGGUGAGCUAAAAGGAUCUUCUGCUGGGAUAUGUUUACACCUAAAACCAGAUUGUAUAUUUUGCGCUUUUGUCUAUGAUGUACUACUUUGAGUUGUGAACCUACAACUGUACGCAUGUGUGCAUGUAGACCUGAUGGAUAGUUGUGCUUUUGGCUGUCUUGUUACUGGACUUGUAUGCCUGUGUGUGCAUGUAGGCACACAUAAUGGAUCUUUGUGCUAGCUUUUAGUUGUCCUGGACUAAUGUAUUGUAUGCCUGUGUGUGCAUGUACGCACACAUAAUGGAUCUUUGUGCUAGCUUUUAGUUGUCCUGGACUAAUGAUGUAUGGAUGAUGGAUUGCUCAUAAUUAGUAUAUGCACUA